AUAAUUUUAGAACAUUCAAUUUAAUGUGUUUUCCUUUUUUAAAGACUUCAUUUUUCAUUGCUGCAACAUUUUUUAAUGUUAUUUUCAAAAUGUUCUUAAAACAUUCAAAUAAUGUAUGAUUGCGAUUUUCCUAAAAUUUAGUUUAUGAAGAAAAAAAAAAAGAAUAUAUAGAAAGAAUAGUGUUGAAAUGAGGAAUUGUAGUAAUUUUUUAAUUGAAAGAUUUUUUCCGGUAUUUUAUAAUGAUUUCUAGUUUUGGCUUAUUGAUUAAACAGACAUAUAUAAAGUCCUUUAAUUAAAACAAAUCAAAAAAUCAAUAAAUGAAAGGAUAGGCAAACACAAAAUUUAAAAUAUAAGUAAAUGUAUAAAAUCAUAAGCAUUUGAUAAAACUCUUAAUGUUUUUUUUAAAAUGUUCUUCAUCAAAUCUGUGAUCCACUCCCAGGAUUUUACUCUGAGGCAUUAGAUAGGGAUUGGCACACUGGUCAGUUUCAGUGUCAUGAUAACCUAUUAUGCAAUUUUCCUGCUGGGCAGCGCGUUACAGAGUAUAGUGGUUUGCAGCUUAUCUAGGCCAAAUUUUGAAUUCUGGUAAACAAGAUGUGCGCGCUUACUCCGUGCCGGUUUGAAUGAGAAGACUUUGCACCAUAAAACCACAAUAAUAAGCUCGGGAUUUAUUAACUUUGAAUGCAUGGUGUUGAUUGCAUCAUCCGUAUUUUCAAAUUCCCCCAUUCAAAAGACCCGCCUUUGGUGAAGCCAAAGGUGUUGUGCUAUUCGUUCCGAGGGGCGGAUUCCUUAUCAGCCUUUUCAGUGUAUGUGAUUCUAACUAAGUCUUAUAGAUCCGCCGCUCUGUUCGACCUAUACUGUGAACAUAGGAUUUCUGUGAUUCUGUUCUUUUAAAAUUCAGUGAAUGGAUUAGACGCCGUUUUCACCCUUUAAAAACCCGGUGACUUGAAAGAAAAUAAAUUAAAACUUGUACCGAGAAUGGAAUUUAAAUGUGAUUAACAUAUUGAAUAUGGGUUUGUAUUAAAGGUUCAAAAA